rnacentral:rRNA from 1 species
AGAGUUUGAUCCUGGCUCAGGAUCAAUGCUGGCGGCGUGCCUAACACAUGCAAGUCGAACGGUGCCUUCGGGCAUAGUGGCGAACGGGUGAGUAACACGUGGUCUACCUACCCCCGAGAGCGGGACAACGGAUCGAAAGGUCUGCUAAUACCGCAUAAGCUCACGUUGAAUAGUAAGGUGUGAGAAAAGGCAGUAAUGCGCUUGGGGAUGGGACUGCGGUCCAUCAGCUAGUUGGUGAGGUAACGGCUCACCAAGGCGACGACGGAUAGGGGGCCUGAGAGGGUGACCCUCCACACUGGAACUGAGACACGGUCCAGACUCCUACGGGAGGCAGCAGUGAGGAAUAUUGCUCAAUGGGGGCAACCCUGAAGCAGCAACGCCGCGUGGGUGAAGAAGGCUUUCGGGUCGUAAAGCCCUUUUCUGUGUGACGAGAACGGACGGUAGCACAGGAAUAAGUGUCGGCUAACUACGUGCCAGCAGCCGCGGUAAUACGUAGGACGCAAGCAUUAUCCGGAAUUACUGGGCGUAAAGAGCGCGCAGGCGGUUCAAUAAGUCAGGUAUGAAAGCUCUGGGCUAAACUCGGAGAGGCUACAUGAUACUGUUGAACUAGAGUGGGGAAGAGGGGCGUAGAAUUCCGCGUGUAGUGGUAAAAUGCGUAGAUAUGCGGAGGAAUACCAGUGGCGAAGGCGACGCUCUGGUCCCCAACUGACGCUGAGGCGCGAAAGCAUGGGGAGUGAACGGGAUUAGAAACCCCGGUAAUCCAUGCUGUAAACGAUGUGCACUAAAUGUUCGGGCGCGAGUCUGGGUAUUGAAGCUAACGCGAUAAGUGCACCGCCUGGGGAGUACGAUCGCAAGGUUAAAACUCAAAGGAAUUGACGGGGGCCCGCACAAGCAGCGGAGCGUGUGGUUUAAUUCGAUGCUACACGAAGAACCUUACCCGGGUUUGACAUACUAGUAGUAGGGAAUGGAAACAGGACCGACCCGCAAGGGAGCUAGUACAGGUGCUGCAUGGCUGUCGUCAGCUCGUGCCGUGAGGUGUUCGGUUAAGUCCGCAAACGAGCGCAACCCUCAUCGUUAGUUACAAGUGUCUAACGAGACUGCCCGUGGUAAACGGGAGGAAGGUGAGGAUGAUGUCAAGUCAGCAUGGCCUUUAUAUCCGGGGCUACACACACGCUACAAUGGUUCAUACAAUGGGUUGCGAAGUCGUGAGGCGGAGCCAAUCCUGCAAAGUGAGCCACAGUUCAGAUUGCAGGCUGCAACUCGCCUGCAUGAAGUUGGAGUUGCUAGUAACCGCAGGUCAGCAUACUGCGGUGAAUACGUUCCCGGGCCUUGUACACACCGCCCGUCACGUCAUGGGAGUUGGUUACGCCUGAAGUCGGGAAGCUAACCGCGAGGGGGCUACUGCCGAGGGCAGAAUUGAUGACUGGGACGAAGUCGUAACAAGGUAGCUGUAGCGGAAGCUGCGGCUGGAUCACCUCCUU